rnacentral:rRNA from 1 species
UACGAAGGGUGCAAACGUUGCUCGGAAUUAUUGGGCGUAAAGCGCACGUAGGCGGCUUGGCAAGUCGGAUGUGAAAUCCCUCGGCUCAACCAAGGAAGUGCAUCCGAAACUGCUGAGCUUGAGUACUUAAGAGGAUCGCGGAAUUCCCGGUGUAGAGGUGAAAUUCGUAGAUAUCGGGAGGAGCACCAGUGGCGAAGGCGGCGAUCUGGGAAGAUACUGACGCUGAGACGCGAAAGCGUGGGGAGCGAACAGG